rnacentral:rRNA from 1 species
UCCGGUUGAUCCUGCCGGAGGUUACUGCUAUCGGGGUCCGACUAAGCCAUGCGAGUUGAGAGGGGUAAGCCCUCGGCAUACUGCUCAGUAACACGCGGAUAACCUGCCCUUGGGUCUGGGAUAACCCCGGGAAACUGGGACUAAUACCGGAUAGAUCAGAGAAACUGGAAUGUUCUCUGGUUCAAAACUCCGGUGCCCAAGGAUGGGUCUGCGGCCUAUCAGGUAGUAGUGGGUGUAACGUACCUACUAGCCAGCGACGGGUAAGGGUUGUGAGAGCAAGAUCCCUGAGAUGGAUUCUGAGACAUGAAUCCAGGCCCUACGGGGUGCAGCAGGCGCGAAAACUUUACACUGCGGGAAACCGCGAUAAGGGGACCCCGAGUGCCAGCACCUAGUGCUGGCUGUCCUACUGUCUAAAUAACAGUAGUUAGCAAGGGCCGGGCAAGACCGGUGCCAGCCGCCGCGGUAACACCGGCGGCCGAGUGGUAACCGUUUUUAUUGGGUUUAAAGGGUCCGUAGCCGGCUUACUAAGUCUCUUGGGAAAUCUGGCGGCUCAAUCGUCAGGCGGCCAAGAGAUACUGGUAGGCUUGGGACCGGGAGAGGUGGGAGGUACUCCAGGGGUAGGGGUGAAAUCUCGUAAUCCUUGGGGGACCACCGAUGGCGAAGGCAUCCCACCAGAACGGGUCCGACGGUGAGGGACGAAAGCUGGGGGCACGAACCGGAUUAGAUACCCGGGUAGUCCCAGCCGUAAACGAUGCUCGCUAGGUGUCAGGUGCGGUGCGACCGCAUCUGGUGCCGCAGUGAAAACUUGAAGCGAGUCACCUGGGAAGUACGGUCGCAAGGCUGAAACCUAAAGGAAU